AGCACCUACACAGGCACUCACACAUACACACACAAAUACACAUACAUACUCAAUAGUCUGCUUUACAGACCAAUCAGAACAACUAGUUCUAACCACACCAGCAUUCAAAUCCGAACAUCUCACCUCUCGUGAUUGAAGGACCAGGAGACAUAAUCUCACAUAGUUACUUAAUUUUUGCAAGUGGGAAACUACAGUGAUUGGUCAAUGGUCUUGAAGGUGCGCUGAGAAGCCUUGGCAAACCGUGUGUGUGUGUGUGUGUGUGUGUGUGUGUGUGUGUGUGUGUGUGUGUGUCUAUUUGUGUGUGCGUGCAUGCGUGCGCGUGAGUGAGGUCACUGUUGAAUGGAUGAUGCUGUAUUGCAAACCUUUCAGGUCUAUUGGGAAUAUUAGCAAUCAUUAAAGCAACAGCUCCUCCACAACCUCCUUCCUUCCCCUCCGCCCUCCAAUCCCUCCAUUCCCAACUCCCCUACCUCACUCCCUAAAACAUCCCCCAGUCUCCUCAGGAUUCAAUGAGAGCACGAGAAUGUGAGAGAGAAGCAGCAUAGCAAACCGUUACUUGCUGAAACAAAGAACACCUCCUCCUGCCUCCUAAUCCUGCCACCUUCCCCUGCUAGUCAAAUCAAUAUUUCUCCCUCGAAGGGUCUAGUAUUUGCACGCCGCGCUGCAGCAGAGUUCUUUCAAAAGGUCAUGGAGAGUAGAGAGGAGGAGACGAGGUCUGAGGGUCCAGCAUCACCUCACACCACAGCCCCAAAGCACUCUGGCAGGUGUGUCUGGAUGGUUGGAGGUGGCCCAGGGGCGACGGUUUGUUAAGCGCCGCGUCGUGAGUCAGCUGCCUGUCGUCGACGGAGAUGCUGAACAAAGCUAAGCUGCUCAUACCUCAACCAUGAGCUCACCUGGCCAGGUCAGCCCUACCUGCACACACACACACACACACACACACACACACACACACACACACACACACACACACACACACACACACACACACACACACACACACACACACACACACAAACAUUCACACAUGCACAUAUAUACACUUACGCAUAUGCAAA